rfam:Luteimonas sp. JM171 genome.
CGGGGUGUAGCGCAGCCUGGUAGCGCACCUGUCUGGGGGACAGGUGGUCGUCGGUUCGAAUCCGGCCACCCCGA